rnacentral:rRNA from 1 species
GAGAGUUAAAUAGUACGUGAAAUUGUUGAAAGGGAAACGAUUGAAGUCAGUCAUGCUAGUGAAAAUUCAGUUUGACGGGUUUUGGGUUUAGGAGUAAGAGGUAGGGUUAAACCGUCUCUCUUUUAAACUUGGGAUUUGUCGGAUGCACUUUUUCUUUGGCAGGUCAGCGUCGAUUUCGAGGGUUGUAAAAUACUUGGGGGAAAGUAGCUCUGCUUCGGGAGAGUGUUAUAGACCUUGGGAGAUGCAGCCCGUGGGAUCGAGGAUUGCAGCAAAUGCCUUUGGCUUGUCUUCUGAUCUUUGGUUGUUACCUCGUUUAUGACAACAUUCUUGUCAUCGAUGAGUUCUAAUGGUUAUGGGUUAGAAUGAUCAAAAAUUUGCUAAGGAUGCUGACGUAAUGGCUUUAAACGA